UUUGCACCCCGACGUAUGUGGGGGGACUUGGAGAAGGAGGGCAGGUCUGUGCCGUUUCGGGGGCCACGUCCUGCUCCCAACGGCUCCUCGGAGGGCGGCUGCGCGGGGCGGGCGGAGCGGCGCCAGGUGCCGUGGCCGCGCCAGAAUGUUAUGGAACAGUUCAAUCCGCGGCUACGAAAUUUAAUAAACCUAGGAAAAAAUUAUGAAAAAGCUGUUAAUGCUAUGAUCCAGGCGGGGAAAGCCUACUACGAUGGAGUGGCCAAGAUUGGUGAGAUUGCCACCGGGUCCCCUGUGUCGACAGAGUUGGGCCACGUUCUCAUAGAGAUUUCAAGUACCCACCAGAAACUUGAUGAGAGUUUUAGAGAAAAUUUCAAAGCAUUCCACAAAGAGAUUAUACAUGAGCUGGAGAAGAAGACAGAACUUGAUGUAAAAUACAUGACCGCCACUCUCAAAAGAUACCAAACAGAACACAGGAAUAAAUUAGAUUCUUUGGAGAAAUCUCAAGCUGAAUUGAAGAAGAUCAGAAGGAAAAGUCAAGGAGGACGAAAUGCAGUCAAAUACGAACACAAAGAAAUUGAGUACAUAGAAACCGUCACCUCUCGCCAGAGCGAGAUCCAGAGGUUCAUCGCGGAGGGCUGCAGAGAGGCGCUCCUGGAGGAGAAGAGGCGCUUCUGCUUCCUGGUGGACAAGCACUGCAGCUUCGCCAGCCGCACGCAGCACUACCACCUGCAGUCGGCAGAAUUACUGAAUUCCAAACUGCCCAGGUGGCAGAAAACCUGCGGUGAUGCCACCAAAGUGCCAGAGGAAAUCAUCAACAUGAUAGAAGAAAUAAAGACCCCUAGCUCCACCCCCACGUCCUGGACGCCUCAGCCUUCGCCAAUGGUCGAGAGAAGGAGCAUGGCUGGGAAAGACUACGACACCCUUUCUAAGUAUCCACCCAAGGUGCCCCCGGCUCCUUCAGGCAGAGUGGUCACCAGCCCUUUGAUUGAUAUGUUCAAUAACCCAGCGACUGCUGCACAGAAUUCGGCUUCUCCGGAGGAUCCCAGUUUACAGCGAUCAGUGUCUGUUGCAACGGGACUGAACAUGAUGAAAAAGCAGAAAGUGAAAACCAUCUUCCCGCACACGGCUGGCACCAACCAGCUUGGCUUCGCGCAGGGAGACGUCAUCACGCUGCUCGUUGCUGAGGAGAGAGACGGCUGGCUCUACGGAGAGCAUGACACCUCCAAAGCGAGGGGCUGGUUCCCGUCCUCGUACACGAGGCUGCUGGAAGAGAGCGCGCAGGAGGCAGUGAGUGUGCCCGCGCCGAGCCCAGCGCCCGUGAGGAGCAUGAGCACCGUGGACUUGUCGGAGAAGAGCUGUGCUGCCGUCCCCCUCCCCCCUCCCGAUUACUUGGAGUGCUUGUCCAUGCGAGCAGCUGCAGACAAGAGAGCAGAUGUUCCCAAGCCCACGUCCACCUUUAAAGCCCCGGCGUCCGGACCAGAAACCACGUCUCUCACUGUCCAUAAGGAAUGCUGCCUUGGAAGGGCUGAGACUGCCCAGGAAGCUGAGGCCUGCGAACAGUGCCCACCCUGGGGUCCCCGCCCUCCUUGAGCUGCAGAGCUGGAGGCUCACAGCUUCUUCCUGAGGGCCGGGUGGGGCUGCUCGGAGGCGACCCGGUGCUGUGCGCUCACCAAGCCUCCUCUGGAAUAACACAAACGGGACUGCCAAGCUCCCUUUCCUCAGUGGAGAAAACCCCUUCGCUACUGUGAAACUCCGACCAACAGUGACAAACGACCGGUCAGCACCAAUCAUUCGAUGAAAAGAUGGCCAAAGACUUCUCCUGGAUCUUCUUAUGUUCUCACACGUGAAGUCAUAGGUGUGGUGCAUCCUGUACUGUCAUGAUGCUUCACCGGAGGGUGCCUGAUUUUAAACGUAUUCUACUUUAGCAAAUCAAUGCAUUUUCUCAAUUUCACAGUUGGGUUUGCACAUUUCUGUCUUAAAGAAGAUAAAUUAGUUGAGUGACCAACUCAAUCACUGAAAGUAUUUUCUUCCUAUUUUGUUCAAAGAGCAGUAAAUUUGGUUCUAAUCCUUA